GAUGUUCAGUUGCGAAGACAACCAGGAGGUUGGCUUAGAAGCAGCCACCCUUGAAAGAGUGCGUAAUAGCUCACUGGUCAAGUGAUUGAGCGCCGAUAAUGUAGCGGGGCUAAGUACACCGCCGAAGUUGUGGCAGCACCACAGUUAAGCCGUAAUGGUGUGGUGUUGGGUAGGGGAGCGUCGAGUUGCCGGAGAAGCUGCCGUGUGAACGAGUGGUGGAGGCGAUUCGAGUGAGAAUGCAGGCAUGAGUAGCGAAAGACGGGUGAGAAACCCGUCCACCGGAUGACCAAGGGUUCCAGGGCUAGGCUAAUCCGCCCUGGGUAAGUCGGGACCUAAGGCGAGGCCGACAGGCGUAGUCGAUGGACAACGGGUUGAUAUUCCCGUACCCGUGUCAGAUCGCCCCUGAUGAAUCAGUUGUACUAACCGUCCUGAAGCCGCGAGAUCACCUUCGGGUGACGAGCUGGUGGAUGCACGGGACCUCGGCUGGUAGUAGUCAAGCGAUGGGGUGACGCAGGAAGGUAGUGGGGCCAGUCAGUGGUUGUACUGGUGUAAGCCUGUAGGGCGAGAUCUAGGCAAAUCCGGAUCUCAUAUAGCCUGAGAGGUGAUGCGUGGCCGUUGCGGUGAAUUCCAUGAUCCUAUGCUGCCGAGAAAAGCCUCUAGCGAGAUCUGAUGUGGCCCGUACCCCAAACCAACACAGGUGGUCAGGUAGAGAAUACCAAGGAGAUCGAGAGAACUGUGGUUAAGGAACGCGGCAAAUGCCCCCGUAACUUCGGGAGAAGGGGGACCAUCCCGGUGAACCAGACUUGCUCUGGGAUGUGCUGGUGGUGGUCGCAGAGGCCAGAGAGAAGCGACUGUUUAUUAAAAACACAGGUCCGUGCGAAGAUGUAAGUCGAUGUAUACGGACUGACGC
rnacentral:rRNA from 1 species